GUCCCCCCACCAGCCUCCACUGAUCUGACAUGAUCAAUUACUCAACAUGACAUGUUGAUGGUUUGUGUCUCCCAUUAGAUGUUGGUGAUAUUCAGUCCAGGCUAAUAGACCAUAGGCCUGUCGUACAAGGGGAGAUCUGCUAUUUUAUGAAUUUGAGGAAAAACUUGGAUUCAGAGAGAGCCGUUUCCUGGACAACCUGAACAAAAUGGUGGUGGAGACCAAUGAGCAGUCGUUGCCCAAAUGUUCAGAGCACAUGCAUAAGCACCUCUGUGAGGCCCUCACACGAUUGGAGGAUGGGAAUCACACGUCACAGAGGAUCCAGGAGAGGGAGCUAUAGGCAGACCACGUAAAGACACAGGCUCUCUUCAAAGACCAUGAAUUACCAAUAGUGAUUUAACCAUUCACAAGCAUGGAUUGUGACAACAGACCAGGGCCCAGUUUCUCGUUAUCGAUGGAACUUAGGCUUACGAGUGUAUGAACAAUGAAUCGUAUGACAACCGAAGAAGUUGCUUAUGUUUCCCAAAACACUAAGCAGGGAGAACUUUCACUAAGUCUGUCGUUGGAGCAGGUGUCAUUACUGAUAGGAUCGAAAUAAAGGCAGCGCUGCUCACGGAUCAGCUUGGUCCAUUCAAAUCUUACCUUAACAUUAUAAUUAUUCCAAAAUACUGACGAAGGAUCACCUAUAGGCUAUGGCUGCAAAUAUUAAGGUGGCUUAUUAACCUAAUGCUUAUGCCCAGCCUACACCUCAUUGCUCACAUGUUACACAUCAUUAAAUAUAUUUAGGCAAAAAUGACCAACAGUAGCCUACAAUUAGCCAAAUAGAACUCAAUUGAUUGAACAAGAAAUAGAUUUCAAUGUGAUUGAAAUGUGUAGUCUCUACUGUAUUUACCUUUUAUUACAGUCAUCUGGGUUUUCUUUUUAGGCAUUUUUUUUUUAUCCUUUGCUUGUCUGUAACAUACAAUGACUUUAGUAACUUUGUAGUCAACUUUGUUCUGAAUUUAUAGGUGUUUACAGAGAGACAGAUAAACAUCUUGAGUGUGUUUAGCAGAGAUCUUCUAUGUAUAAAGUUAUGUGGAAGGGAGAAAAAGCACCUAACGAUGCACUUAGCUCUCCACUAAGAGUGGUCUGAGGCAGUUAGUAAAUAAAGAUUGUUUUCAAGUGCGACUUUAGUUCUAAUGGUUUUGGGAAACAACUCGGGGAUUUACCAAUGCUCCUACAAAGGUUCUAACGAUGAACUUGGUUUUAAGAUGCUUUUGGGAAACCGGGCCCAGGGGCGGAUCAUUUGGCACUAAACAGUAGAUAGCUGUUUGAAACUGAGUACCACCCAAAUCUCCCCAACAAGAGUGUUUUCAUUUCCAAUUUCAUUUUUGUUUAGUUCAGAUUUUUUUUUGUCUUCGAGCCUGACCCAGAUCCUUGCAUGUUGUGCACCUUAGAGCACCCAGUUGCAGGUGACCAUAGACAGACAGAAGGAGGACUGGGAGGAGGAGGUGGAUGAAGAGCAUACCAAGGACAUCGGACGCCUCAGCAUCAUGUACUGCGACAUGAAGAAGGAUCUGGCCAAAUUCUCUCACUUUCGAUCCUCGGUGUGUCUGUCUGUCUGCUUGAAAUUAAGUUGUUGAAUUUGAUUGAUGCGGUACUUAGUCGUUGGCACUAACAGAGGACUUCUGAGGACAAAAGUCAACAGUUUCCAGAUCACAAAUGACAAAGUGUGAUUAACAACGUGGCAUUUUCACAGCCCUUCAAAAUCACAAUUUUCUGGCCUGAGCACAUGGAAUAUGUAUGUCAAGUUCUGGAAAAAUGUCAUUUUUAAACCAUAAAUUACAUGAUUGUU